rnacentral:rRNA from 1 species
CAGUCGCCACGGUAAUACGUAGGGUGCGAGCGUUAAUCGGAAUUACUGGGCGUAAAGCGUGCGCAGGCGGUUCGUUAAGACAGAUGUGAAAUCCCCGGGCUUAACCUGGGAACUGCAUUUGUGACUGGCGAGCUAGAGUAUGGCAGAGGGGGGUAGAAUUCCACGUGUAGCAGUGAAAUGCGUAGAGAUGUGAAGGAAUACCGAUGGCGAAGGCAGCCACCUGGACCAAUACUGACGCUCAUGCACGAAAGCGUGGGGAGCAAACAGGAUUAGAGACCCCAGUAGUCCCUGUCUCUUAUAC